rnacentral:rRNA from 1 species
AGUCGAGCGAUGAAGCACCUUCGGGUGUGAAUUAGCGGCGAACGGGUGAGGAACACGUGAGAAAUCUGCCUUCAACACUGGGAUAACUCCGGGAAACCGGGGCUAAUACCGGAUAUGAAAUCUGCGGGCAUCCGCGGAUUUGGAAAGUUUUUCGGUUGAAGAUGAUCUCGCGGCCUAUCAGCUUGUUGGUGAGGUAAUGGCUCACCAAGGCGACGACGGGUAGCCGGCCUGAGAGGGCGACCGGCCACACUGGGACUGAGACACGGCCCAGACUCCUACGGGAGGCAGCAGUGGGGAAUAUUGGGCAAUGGAGGAAACUCUGACCCAGCGACGCCGCGUGCGGGAUGAAGGCCUUCGGGUUGUAAACCGCUUUCAGCAGGGAAGAAGCGAAAGUGACGGUACCUGCAGAAGAAGCACCGGCUAACUAUGUGCCAGCAGCCGCGGUAAUACAUAGGGUGCAAGCGUUGUCCGGAAUUAUUGGGCGUAAAGAGCUCGUAGGUGGUUCGUCACGUCGGAUGUGAAACUCUGGGGCUUAACCCCAGACCUGCAUUCGAUACGGGCGAGCUUGAGUAUGGUAGGGGAGUCUGGAAUUCCUGGUGUAGCGGUGGAAUGCGCAGAUAUCAGGAGGAACACCAAUGGCGAAGGCAGGACUCUGGGCCAUUACUGACACUGAGGAGCGAAAGCGUGGGGAGCGAACAGGAUUAGAUACCCUGGUAGUCCACGCCGUAAACGGUGGGCACUAGUUGUGGGGACCUUCCACGGUCUCUGCGACGCAGCUAACGCAUUAAGUGCCCCGCCUGGGGAGUACGAUCGCAAGAUUAAAACUCAAAGGAAUUGACGGGGCCCCGCACAAGCAGCGGAGCAUGCGGCUUAACUCGACGCAACGCGAAGAACCUUACCAAGGCUUGACAUAUACAGGAAUAUGGCAGANAUGUCAUAGCCGCAAGGUCUGUAUACAGGUGGU